AAGCUUCAAAUGCUGCUGAGAGUGUUGCCGCCUGCUUGCUUGCAUUCCCAAUUCGCAGAAUGGCUGCCCAAUUCGACGACCUCUCCACGCCUGAGGGAUUGAAGAUGCUCGAUCAGUACCUCUUCACUCGCAGCUACAUUAGCGGAUGGCUUUGAGGUGCUGCCAGGGUUGCGGUAGAAGAGUCAAAGCUUAGCAUGUCUUUCGGCUGGUUUCAUUGGAUAUGGGGUUCAGAUAUCAGGUCUCUGGGGAUGACUUUGCAGUUUUUGCGAAGGUGAAGAGCGUGCCCUCGGAGUAUCAGAAUUUAGCGAGGUGGUACAAGCAUGUUGCAGAGUUGUCUGGACUUAGGUGGACGGAGGUCUGCACGAAAUUUUCGCGUCUCUCUGUCGAUGGAACGCGUUAGAGCUCUCUUGAACGAGGUGCUGAAUGCCUCGCCGUAGAUUAUGUGUUUCCUAUUAGGUUUCCAUCACUGGUUAGAUUCUUAAUUCCAAGCGUGGGAUUGUAAAUCAAGAAUGGUGCCGCUUCGGCCGCCUCCGUGCUGCACCGGCUGCUGCUGCAGCUCGUUAGACAUCAGAUGCUGAAGCCGAAACUGCUGCAUCUGUCAAUGUGAAUGACGUUGAUGAAGUCCUUGGUUCAUUCAUUGAAGAUACGGAGAUGGAGGGAAUUUUCAGGUUGGGAUGAAGGCUCCUGCUAAGCAUUAAGUUUCUGAGUGGUUUUUCCUCCCUAGAAAUGAAAGGGUAACUUUGUUCCAUUUGCAUGUGUUAAUUCGGAUAGCUGACCUGUCAAAGUGACCGUGGUGGAUGUAUCUUGCAUCAACAUUUUAAUUCAUGUAGGCGUGUAUGAUAUGACCUCUUGCCACUGAA